rnacentral:rRNA from 1 species
GCACAAGCGGUGGAUGAUGUGGUUAAUUCGAUGCAACGCGAAAACCUUACCCACCUUGACAUGGCAGGAAUCCCGAAGAGAUUUGGGAGUGCUCGAAAGAGAACCUGCACACAGGUGCUGCAUGGCUGUCGUCAGCUCGUGUCGUGAGAUGUUGGGUUAAGUCCCGCAACGAGCGCAACCCUUGCCAUUAGUUGCUACGAAAGGGCACUCUAAUGGGACUGCCGGUGACAAACCGGAGGAAGGUGGGGAUGACGUCAAGUCCUCAUGGCCCUUAUAGGUGGGGCUACACACGUCAUACAAUGGCCGGUACAGAGGGUAGCCAACCCGCGAGGGGGAGCCAAUCCCACAAAGCCGGUCGUAGUCCAGAUCGCAGUCUGCAACUCGACUGCGUGAAGUCGGAAUCGCUAGUAAUCGCGGAUCAGCCAUGGCCGCGGUCGAAUACGUUCCGGCCUU